GACGUAGGGCGCGAGCGUUGUCCGGAUUUAUUGGGCGUAAAGAGCUCGUAGGCGGCUUGUUGCGUCAGCUGUGAAAACCCGCAGCUCAACUGUGGGCUUGCAGCUGAUACGGGCAGGCUUGAGUUCGGUAGGGGAGACUGGAAUUCCUGGUGUAGCGGUGAAAUGCGUAGAUAUCGAGAGGAACACCUGCGGCGAAGGCGGGUUGCUGGGCCGACACUGACGCUGAUGCGCGAAAUCCAGGGGAGCGAACGGG
rnacentral:rRNA from 1 species